GGCGGCGAGCGGAAGUGGGUGUGAGAGCGGAAGUGGCCGGCUGGAGCCGGGGGCUGGGCGGGGACCGGGCUUGUCGGUGAGGCGGCAGCGGCGGCGGCGGCGGCUCGGCAGGCGGGUUCAGGCUUCGGGGGCCAGCCGCCGCCAUGAUCCUGCUGGAGGUGAACAACCGCAUCAUCGAGGAGACGCUCGCGCUCAAGUUCGAGAACGCGGCCGCCGGAAACAAACCAGAAGCAGUAGAAGUAACAUUUGCAGAUUUCGAUGGAGUCCUCUAUCAUAUUUCAAAUCCUAAUGGAGACAAAACAAAAGUGAUGGUCAGUAUUUCUUUGAAAUUCUACAAGGAACUUCAGGCACAUGGUGCUGAUGAGUUAUUAAAGAGGGUGUACGGGAGUUUCUUGGUAAAUCCAGAAUCAGGAUACAAUGUCUCUUUGCUAUACGACCUUGAAAAUCUGCCUGCCUCCAAGGAUUCCAUUGUGCAUCAGGCUGGCAUGUUGAAACGAAACUGUUUUGCCUCUGUCUUCGAGAAGUACUUCCAAUUCCAAGAAGAGGGCAAGGAAGGAGAGAACAGGGCAGUUAUCCAUUAUAGAGAUGAUGAGACCAUGUAUGUUGAGUCUAAAAAGGACAGAGUCACAGUAGUCUUCAGCACGGUGUUUAAGGAUGACGAUGAUGUGGUCAUUGGAAAGGUCUUCAUGCAGGAGUUCAAAGAAGGACGCAGAGCCAGCCACACAGCCCCACAGGUCCUCUUUAGCCACAGGGAACCUCCUCUGGAGCUGAAGGACACCGACGCUGCCGUGGGUGACAACAUCGGCUAUAUUACCUUCGUGCUGUUCCCUCGCCACACCAACGCCAGCGCUCGAGACAACACCAUCAACCUGAUCCACACGUUUCGGGACUACCUGCACUACCACAUCAAGUGCUCUAAGGCCUAUAUUCACACCCGGAUGCGGGCAAAAACCUCCGACUUCCUCAAGGUGCUGAACCGUGCACGCCCAGAUGCGGAAAAGAAAGAAAUGAGAACAAUCACCAUGCUUAUUACCCAAAGUCUUCAGUAGGAAGAGGGAGCCGAUGGCACCGUUCUGUGAAAACUGGGUCUUCGCCCGUGCCUGGAGUUCCCACGUGCCUCUGCCUCAGGGGGAAGACGUUUUCAUCCCGCUAACUCUUGGGAACAGGAAGAGGAAGCUUCGGCUGGCAACUGAAGGCUGGAACACUUGCUACUGGAUAAUCGUAGCUUUUAACGUUGCACCUCUUCAGGUUCUUGAGAGAUUCUCCGUUUUGGUUCCAUUUUGUACACGUUUGGAAAAUAAUCUGCAGAAACGAGCUGUGCUUGCAAGGACUUCAUAGUUCCCAAGAAUUAAAAAAAGAAAAAGAAGAAUUCCACUUGAUCAACUUACUUCCUUUUCUUUGUCUUCCCUCCCUCACCCCCCUUCCCUUCCACCCUCUUUUCCAAGCUGUUUCGCUUUGCAAUAUGUUACUGGUAAUGAGUUGCAGGAUAAUGCAAUCUUAACUUGUUUUUUUCCCAAGUAUUUGAGUUUAAAACUCCUGUAUCUAAAGAAUACGGUUGGGGUCAUUAAUAAAGAAAAUCUUUCUAUCUUA